rnacentral:lncRNA from 1 species
CUGACAGCACCCCUCUUCCCCUCCCUUCGACCACAGAACUAAGGAGCAUGUGCUGAAAGGCUCUUUGCUCCAUUGUCUGCCUUUCUCUUCCCAUGUCGCUGUUGUUUUCUGUUCAUACACAUAUUCUUCUGGCUGGCUCCUAAUUACCCUCCAGCAUUCACACUAGUCUAAUCUGCCCUACAUCUUCACCAUACAUUCCCACCAUCCCACCACUUGGGAAGAGGCAGAGGCAAGUGAGGGUCUUAGGUUCAAGACCAGCCUCUGACACAAGUAAGAUCUUGUCUAAGAAAAGACAAAUAAGGUAUAGAAAUCUAAAGUGGGAGAUUUAUACAGAGAGCUAUAUUAUCUUAGAUGAACUCUAGCAUUCUUGAUCAGACUAAGCUACGGAAUGUGUUGGUGAUGCAUCGCCUAUGUCUCCCUCUGAUCUGAAAAUCCAUAUACAUACUGAGAUUGAUGCCUUAUACCACAAGGUUCUGAGAUGUGUAAUCCUCCAACCUUGGCUGAGGUUCACCAUUUCAACUAUAUGACACAUUUUUAAACAGAGGUAGAACUCAUACUUUUUUUUAUCAGAACCUUGGAAGCACAGCAAGUCUCAUGAGUCACCUUUGUCUUCUCCAUUAUCUUGUUUUUAAGUAUUGAGAAUUGGACAAUUCACAGUCAUUUUUUUUCAAGCAUUAUUAGGCCAAGACACUUAGAGAAAAUUACUUUUUUGCACUACUUCUUAAGCACAAUUAGCAAUCAUCCAUCACUUUCCAAAGAGUAGGUUUUCCAGUUUGAUUAUCAUCUCAAAUGCAUGAAAUUUCUCUGAUCAGUAUCACCACAGGAAUCUGAUCUCCAUGUUCCUGGCUUUGUUUCAGUAUAAAAUGAUGGAAUGGUAUCACAGUCAAUGGGGAGAAACGUUACUUGUGAGCCAGCCAUGUUCAAGUCAAUUUAACAUUGGACUUUUUCCACAGCUUCACCUCCAAAAGGUGGAGGAAGGAGGUUUUCUGUUAGAUGGAAAUAUGUGUUCUGCUAUGAAUGUUAGUAACUGAGUAACUUUUGAAAUAUUUCAAUAAAAGUUGCCUUUUACACUACAAAAAGUAA